GAUGAACGCUGGCGGCGUGCUUAACACAUGCAAGUCGAACGGUAAGGCCCUUUCGGGGGUACACGAGUGGCGAACGGGUGAGUAACACGUGGGUGAUCUGCCCUGCACUUUGGGAUAAGCCUGGGAAACUGGGUCUAAUACCGGAUAGGACUACGCGAUGCAUGUCGUGUGGUGGAAAGCUUUUGCGGUGUGGGAUGGGCCCGCGGCCUAUCAGCUUGUUGGUGGGGUGAUGGCCUACCAAGGCGACGACGGGUAGCCGGCCUGAGAGGGUGUCCGGCCACACUGGGACUGAGAUACGGCCCAGACUCCUACGGGAGGCAGCAGUGGGGAAUAUUGCACAAUGGGCGCAAGCCUGAUGCAGCGACGCCGCGUGGGGGAUGACGGCCUUCGGGUUGUAAACCCCUUUCAGCACAGACGAAGCGUAAGUGACGGUAUGUGCAGAAGAAGCACCGGCCAACUACGUG
rnacentral:rRNA from 1 species